UACAGAGGUCUCAAGCGUUGUUCGGAUUCAUUGGGCGUAAAGAGUGUGUAGGUGGCGCGCUAAGUCGGGUGUGAAAUUUCGGAGCUUAACUCCGAAACUGCAUUCGAUACUGGCGUGCUUGAGGACUGGAGAGGAGACUGGAAUUUACGGUGUAGCAGUGAAAUGCGUAGAUAUCGUAAGGAAGACCAGUGGCGAAGGCGGGUCUCUGGACAGUUCCUGACACUGAGACACGAAGGCCAGGGGAGCAAACGGG
rnacentral:rRNA from 1 species